rnacentral:rRNA from 1 species
UACGGAGGGUGCAAGCGUUAUCCGGAUUCACUGGGUUUAAAGGGUGCGUAGGUGGGCAGGUAAGUCAGUGGUGAAAUCUCCGGGCUUAACCCGGAAACUGCCAUUGAUACUAUCUGUCUUGAAUAUCGUGGAGGUGAGCGGAAUAUGUCAUGUAGCGGUGAAAUGCUUAGAUAUGACAUAGAACACCAAUUGCGAAGGCAGCUCACUACGCGAAUAUUGACACUGAGGCACGAAAGCGUGGGGGAUCAAACAGG